AGCUGAGCAGCUGAAGCCCCAGGACCUACAGAGCCCCAUGAGUAUGAAUGGCAUGCGGCAGACAAGAAUGUCUGGCAGUUUCCUCUGUGAAGCGGGAACUUGAAGGACCAUCUCAUCUUGCAAAGUUCAGUGGUAAUCUUCCUAUGGGUCCUGCAUGUCAACAUUUUGUCAAGCAGUCCAAAUGCUUAGUUGAGAAACUGAAAAAAGACAGUAAAUAUGGUAACACUGCUACCACUGGGAGAAGAAACCACAUCCUCAGGUGGAUCUUCACUGAACCAGCAUCCUCAAGAUUGUAAAUCUUAUUUUAGAAAGGGCUGAGAACCUAAAGUGCCAGUUCCUACAGAGGUACACCAGGGAAUAUGAACAACACCUAGCAGAUAAAGUCAGUUUGGAGAUCACAGAGACAGGAGGAUUAUGUAUUGGCUACUCAGCCUGUGUCUGGGACUGUGCUGUGCUGCACCAGCAGAGUCUAAUUCAAUGGACUGGCUCACUUGCACACACAUGCACAGGCAGCUAUGGAAGCCCCCAACUGCCCUCUACAAAGUGCAGUGGGAUACUGAGAAUAUCGGGACUUAACUGUUAUUGAAGACAGCCAUAUCGCAACUGAGUAAGGAGUGGUGGCGGUGUUUCCUGGCACCAGGGUUAUGGAGGGGCACAUGGACUCUAUGCUGAGAUGUCAGGCUUGAAAAGAACUACACUUUGGUCAUCUCUGUGCUGACAAGGCUUUUUCUUCUAAGAUUUGAAAUAUUGGUAUCUUAGUUAUGGUUUCUACUGCUGUGAAGAGACACCAUGACCAUGGCAACUCUUAUAAAGGAAAACAUUUAAUUGAGUGGCUUAUAGUUUCAGAGGUUUAGUCCAUUGUCAUCAUGGUGGGACAUGGCAGUGUGCAGGCAGACAUGGUGCUGGAGAAGAAGCUGAAAGUUCUACACCUUGAUCUGCAGGCAACAGGAAAUGAACUGUGUCACUGGGCAUAGCUUGAGCAUAGGAGACCUCAAAGCCCAUACCUGCAGAGACAUACUUCCUCCAAUAAGAUCAUACUUAUUCCAACAAAGCCAUACCUCCUAAUGCUACCACUCCCUAUGGGGGGACAUUUUCUUUCAAAUCACCACAAUUAUCCUGAAUCCUUUUCCUUUUCUGUAGAAGAAAAAAAAAAGAAAAGAAAAAGAAAGUGGUACAGAACGCUGCUUUCUGGGAAGACAUAAAGACCAUUCUACAGAAAACUUCAGAAGUAUUUGCUAAGGGGAUCUCUCAUCCAGCCGGGUCUUUGGAUGGUAGUGAAAAAAAUAAGAGUGAAGAGGUGGACCGUGGUACAGCAUGGUCAUCUACAAGGCCGAAGUCUCUUCUGUAGGAACCACACCGGGCAAAACACUGCUGGUGUGGCCUAGAGGAAGCCUCUGAUGAGUUAGCUCCCAGCACAUUGGCAUCAGCCACUCAGCCCGGGGAAAGUGUGAAGCUGACAAGGCCAGUUCAGAGUCUCAAGGACCUGUGCCCUGUGGUCAUUCCAUGAGAUUUGUACAACCAGAACCUCCAUCUUGCACCAAAGGACACCGAGAGAGAGGAACAGACACACGUGGUAUCCUGUGUGGUAGACUGAUAAAGAUAUGAAAACUUCCUGAUCUGAGACUUUCUUCCCCCUCAGCUGCCAGUGACUCUCCGGAAACUAUCCAGUGUCGGAGUCUGUAUAUAUCCCUCCACAGAAUGAUCAGGGGGUAGAAAGGCCUGGGCAGUUUGAAUUUGAUUACUUCAUACUUGGCUGCUUUUCAGAGACCCUUGAAUUAUCAAUUUGUUUCAAUGUGACAGUUAGAAAUACUCAUUCUUCUGAUAGCUAAUGCCAGUAUUCCCAGCCCUUUGCAAACUGAGGCUAGAGGCUUCCUACGAGGUCAAGGCCAGCCUCUGAUGGAGUGUGAGACAUUGUCUCACAGGAAAAGAAGGCAGGCAAGCAGGCAGACAGGCUGGCAUGAGGCAGGAAGGCUGGCUUGUUGACUAAUUCUAAACAGAGGACUCAGUUCCCUUUGUGUCCUGUUCUGAGCUCCUCCUGAGUGGUGGCCUGGGGACAUAAAUUAUCUAAGGUCUUUGUAUGUGUCCAUAAAGUGUUCAGUCCUUUGCAGAGAUAGAAGGGACCCUGGGAUAGAGAGAGUGCUGAGCAGUGUGUUCACUAGGAGAUGUAGGAACUAUGAGGAAGGCAGGGCCACUGAGGGGAGCACACUUGAACCCAUUCCUCACUUCCAAACAAGUCAAUGAGUGAUGCAAAGCAAACCUCACCUUGAUGUUAAUGAGGAAGCUGGAGCAGGGAAGCUGCUUCAGGCAGCAGAGGGGUGGGGCUCUUUCCAGAACACUUCAAGAAUGCUGAGCAGGACAGCUAGGCCUAGCAUGUGCUAGGGGGACAUCUCAGGUUCACCUUGGCAUCUGUGGCUUAACACUGCACCCCAGCAAAGCAGAACAGCCAAGGGGGGGGGGCUUCACAUGUGCUAUGAGUGGGACUGAGAGCACCAAGAGAUUGUGACAAGUUGUUUUCUCUUAGCAGGUGAGAGAGAGAGGAGUAAAUCAUAACACAUGUGAUUGUCCCAGAGCAGAACAGAGGGCCUGAGCGUUGUCACAAACAGAACAAGGAAGAGCUUGACCUCCUCCCUAAUGGCAGCUCCUAUCUCCUAGAAGGACACUGGCCAAGUUGCUCUCGAGCAGAUUCGCUCCAGAUCACCUGUCUCUGAGCAUAUACAGUCACUAGUGUUCAGUGUUGAGUCAAAGGAGCAUUUGCUUUUCUAAUUUUAUGUUACUAAAAGUGACUCUUCAAAGUUCCAAUUCCUUGUGAGUCUGCAUGGUGACAAGUAGCUUGCCUAGGAUGUAUGUGAAUGCAAUAUAGAGACCAUGUACUGUAUAAGUGAAACUAUUUUAAAUGACUCAAGGAGUUCAUUCUCU